rnacentral:rRNA from 1 species
CUCCAUGAAGUUGGAAUUGCUAGUAAUCGCGGAUCAGCAUGCCGCGGUGAAUACGUUCUCGGGUCUUGUACACACCGCCCGUCACACCAUGGAAGUGGAUUGCACCAGAAGUAGAUAGUCUAACCUUAGGGAGGGCGUUUACCACGGUGUGCUUCAUGACUGGGUUGAAGUCGUAACAAGGUAGCCGUAGGGGAACCUGUGGCUGGAUCACCUCCUU